CAGGGCUUGACAUCCUACUAACGAACCAGAGAUGGAUUAGGUGCCCUUCGGGGAAAGUAGAGACAGGUGGUGCAUGGUUGUCGUCAGCUCGUGUCGUGAGAUGUUGGGUUAAGUCCCGCAACGAGCGCAACCCCUAUUGUUAGUUGCUACGCAAGAGCACUCUAGCGAGACUGCCGUUGACAAAACGGAGGAAGGUGGGGACGACGUCAAAUCAUCAUGCCCCUUACGUCCUGGGCCACACACGUACUACAAUGGCGGCCAACAAAGAGAGGCAAUACCGCGAGGUGGAGCAAAUCUCAAAAAGCCGUCCCAGUUCGGAUCGCAGGCUGCAACCCGCCUGCGUGAAGUUGGAAUCGCUAGUAAUCGCGGAUCAGCAUGCCGCGGUGAAUACGUUCCC
rnacentral:rRNA from 1 species